AUUGAACGCUGGCGGCAUGCCUUACACAUGCAAGUCGAACGGCAGCACGGGUGCUUGCACCUGGUGGCGAGUGGCGAACGGGUGAGUAAUACAUCGGAACAUGUCCUGUAGUGGGGGAUAGCCCGGCGAAAGCCGGAUUAAUACCGCAUACGAUCUACGGAUGAAAGCGGGGGACCUUCAGGCCUCGCGCUAUAGGGUUGGCCGAUGGCUGAUUAGCUAGUUGGUGGGGUAAAGGCCUACCAAGGCGACGAUCAGUAGCUGGUCUGAGAGGACGACCAGCCACACUGGGACUGGGACACGGCCCAGACUCCUACGGGAGGCAGCAGUGGGGAAUUUUGGACAAUGGGCGAAAGCCUGAUCCAGCAAUGCCGCGUGUGUGAAGAAGGCCUUCGGGUUGUAAAGCACUUUUGUCCGGAAAGAAAUACUUGGCUCUAAUACAGUCGGGGGAUGACGGUACCGGAAGAAUAAGCACCGGCUAACUACGUG
rnacentral:rRNA from 1 species